rnacentral:lncRNA from 1 species
GGAAAGUCCCGUGGGUCACUGAUAGAUCAAUGGACACCGUCCAGGAGAGAGAAUCAGAACAGAGCCAGUCAGCAGGGCCCUGCCGGGGAAGCCACACGGAUCUCGGGCGGCUUUGUUCAUGCCCAGCAAGGGUGGAUCUCCACAGCCGCCGGGUCUAGAAUCCCUCGUGCCCAGUUCUCAGAUCGGAAGGGUCCAGCUUUAGCAUGGGAAGGGUCUUCGUCUCCCCUCGGGCUGGAGGGGGAGGAGGGGAGAACCUGUCUUGAUGCUCGUGAUUGCAGCGCCAGCAGUUCACUCUGGCCCUCCAGAUCCUGAAGGACUGCAGGCUGCCAGUGUGGGCAUGGUCACUGUGGUCAUUACGAUGGCUACUGACCACAGGAUGACCUCUGCACUAGACAAUGACAAGACGCACCCACGUUCUUCCUGGCUUGGGAGACCAACAAGGCCAGCACCUCUCUGAUGGCUGAGGCUCUAAAAUACGAGGAGAGCUCAGGGCUGCAGAGGCCAGGGUUUCAGCUCCGUGCACCAGAAAGCCAGAGGAAGCCUUUGGUAGAACGGGAGAGCACAGGGACAGAGGUGGCCAGGGAGAGGCCAGAGUCAGGAGCCUCAAAUUACCCACAGGUUCUGUGACACAUGUUUCUUACAAACAACUUCCCUUUUGCUAAGGUCUGUAGGUUACUCCAUCUGCACAGGGAGCCUGGACUGAGGAACAUCAGCAAAGCCAUGGCUUGGACAGAGAAGACGUAACCGAGACAGAAUGAACGAUGGUGAGCGUUGGUUACUAACAAGGGGACCGGGGGAAGAUGGCUUAUGGGUCACUCCUGCCUAAAGCAGAGCUCCCCAGUCUGCACAGAGACGGUUUCGUCUCCAGUUGCAAAUCACACUGGCCAGACGCGUGUCCGUUCCGCAGGUCUCACUUGGUGUCUGUCCCUCCCAGGGAAUGCUAAAUGGCGUC